ACAGUCCCCCUCCUCAGCCUCCAGAGUGCUGGGAUCGCAGGCCUGUACCACCACUCCCGGCUCUUCAAUGACUUUCUCAAGAUCUGUCUGCUGGUCAGAGCUGGGCAAAGGCUCCCAUCAGAGAAAGCUAAUGUGAGUUGCAGGUCCUCAGGGGACAGCACACUGCCAAGCACAAGUUUUUAAUCAGCGGGCGCUGUCAGGAGUGAACCUGAAGUCCUGCCCUCUUCCCUCCACGCGGCUCCUUCAUGGUGAUGAGCGCAGUCACUGGCUCUGACACCCUGAGACUCCUGCCUCUCAAAUCAGAAAUGACCAUGACAAGGAAACGUUUUGAACUGAUUCAAGAAAACAAGGCAGCCACAACAACACGUCCAAAGACACUCACGAAGGAGGACUUCCAGACCUGCUUCAGAAGGUGACAAGAAUGACAGCAUAGGUACGUUCGAAGCAAGAGGCAGUAUUUUGAGGGCAACU